CCUACGGGUGGCUGCAGUGGGGAAUAUUGCACAAUGGGGGAAACCCUGAUGCAGCAACGCCGCGUGAAUGAAGAAGUAAUUCGUUAUGUAAAGCUCUAUCAGCAGGGAAGAAAAUGACGAUGCCUGAGUAAGAAGCCACGGCUAACUACGUGCCAGCAGCCGCGGUAAUACUGAGGGGGCAAGCGUUAUCCGGAUUUACUGGGUGUAAAGGGAGCGUAGACGGCAGUGCAAGUCUGAAGUGAUAGGGGGGGGCUCAACCCACAGACUGCUCUGGACACUGUACGGCUGGAGUGAAGGAGAGGUAGGUGGAAUUCCUGGUGUAGCGGUGGAAUGCGUAGAUAGUAGGAGGAACACCAGUGGCGAAGGCGGCUUACUGGACAGUAACUGACGUUGAGGCUCGAAAGCGUGGGGAGCAAACAGGAUUAGAUACCCUGGUAGUC
rnacentral:rRNA from 1 species